rnacentral:rRNA from 1 species
UACGUAGGGUGCAAGCGUUGUCCGGAAUUAUUGGGCGUAAAGAGCUCGUAGGUGGCCUGUCGCGUCGGCUGUGAAAACUCGGAGCUCAACUCCGAGCUUGCAGUCGAUACGGGCAGGCUAGAGUUCGGCAGGGGAGACUGGAAUUCCUGGUGUAGCGGUGAAAUGCGCAGAUAUCAGGAGGAACACCGAUGGCGAAGGCAGGUCUCUGGGCCACUACUGACGCUGAGAAGCGAAAGCAUGGGGAGCGAACAGG